GAUGAACGCUGGCGGCGUGCCUAAUACAUGCAAGUCGAGCGAACAGAUGAGGAGCUUGCUCCUCUGACGUUAGCGGCGGACGGGUGAGUAACACGUGGAUAACCUACCUAUAAGACUGGGAUAACUUCGGGAAACCGGAGCUAAUACCGGAUAAUAUAUUGAACCGCAUGGUUCAAUAGUGAAAGACGGUUUUGCUGUCACUUAUAGAUGGAUCCGCGCCGCAUUAGCUAGUUGGUAAGGUAACGGCUUACCAAGGCAACGAUGCGUAGCCGACCUGAGAGGGUGAUCGGCCACACUGGAACGGAGACCCGGUCCAGACUCCUACGGGAGGCCGCAGUCGGGAAUCUUCCGCCAUGGGCGAAAGCUUGACGGAGCAACGCCGCGUGAGUGAUGAAGGUCUUCGGAUCGUAAAACUCUGUUAUUAGGGAAGAACAAAUGUGUAAGUAACUAUGCACGUCUUGACGGUACCUAAUCAGAAAGCCACGGCUAACUACGUG
rnacentral:rRNA from 1 species